rnacentral:lncRNA from 1 species
CACAGCCUGUGUGCGUGUGCAAGGCCGGCAGUGAAUGCACCUGCCCAGCAGACUCGCCUUCCACAGCCGCCUCUCCAUCCUCCAGUGAAGACUUCACCUCCAACCCAUCCCUCCGCCCACGUGGGGAAGGAGACAUUCCCACUGUUUCUCAGUCAUUCUUGCUUUUGUAGAAAAGAAAAAAAGAAACCCACCAUCAGCUCCAGCAGCAGCUCCUGAGGACCUGCUUCUCCUACUUCCAGAGGAAGAGGGGAGAGAAGGAUGGACUGACUGCCCACAGUUCAUGAAUAACUUUGUUUCUGUUUGCUUUGUAAUGAUAAUGACCAAAGGAGUGAGGCUGACUUAGGUGUAUUUUUUCCUCAGAUUUGAUAAAGAGCCAGUGCCCUGGGCUCCAUGGCCCACGGCGGUGUAAUAAAGGUGCCCUGGGCUCAUUUGUGCUUCCUUCUGCCACUGUUCCUCUCACGGUCCCAGAGGUAUCCCAUUUGGAGCAAUGAGAGGAAGUCUGGGAUUGUGACCCACAAAAGGCUGUGUGUGGGGUGUGUGUUCCCUUUACACACACAUACAGCUUCUCCUUGGCAUCUGUACCAGGUGGUGGUGAAGGGGUCUCAGCCAAAGGACAGCAGCUCCUGCUUCCCCUCUGACUGCACACACUGCUCUUCCCGGCUUUCCUAACUUGCCGAGCUCGGUGCCUUUCCAGAGGACUAGGGCCCGGGCCCUCCGUCCCACCUGCGGAGGCUCGUCCUGUUUGAGUGCACAUAUGAUAAUGAUGUUUAAGGAUAUAGACCCAUCGCAGGCAUGGUGGUGUGCUGGGAGGCAGAGGCAGCAGAUCUCUGAAUUCCAGGCCAGCCUGGUCUACAGAGUGAGGAGGCCCUGUCUCAAAGUUUUGAACCAGAAACUUUGAAAGAGAAAUUGGACUCCCAGCCUGUGUGUGUUGUUGGAAAGCACAUUUCAUGGCACCAGAGACAGUUUGCAGCCUUCCUCUUGCCGUGGUGAAGCAACAGGAGCCUUUUCCCCCUUGAAAUGUCUCGUCUGUGAUUGAGUUUUUGGUAGUGGGUAUGUGGUUGAGCCAUGUAUGAGCACAUGCCAGUGUGUGCUGACAAGUGUUCCAGUAUGGGCUUGCUGUGCUGGUACAGGCUUGACACUGCCGCUCUCUGAGGUUCCUGUAGUUCACUAGUGUGUGGGGGCAUUCCAGUCCGGAGAAAGCAUAGCUUGUGUUGGUCACCUCCAAGAGACCCUCUAAAGCCACUUCUCUCUGUGACAGUCCUGUGCUUCUGUUCUCUGCAGCUCUCUGUUGUUAGAGGACGGCUUGUGGAGUCAUUUGGAAAACCUGAGCAGAUCCCUGAGGCCUUAGCACAGGGCUCUGAUUCUACCUUGGGAAGUGUUAGCGCAGCUAGGCCGGCUGGAACUACAGUGAUAGGUUGAGAGGACGCUCAGGAGAAGUCUGUCUUGCUGACAUCGAUGCAGAGAGGCUUUCCCACUUGGAGCCACCCUCCCAGCUUGUAGUCCCUGUCUGACUGCCCGGCACAUGGGCAUGUGUACUGUGGCAGUGUCUUGUUCAUGGCUGCUUGGGGAAGUUCUGAUUUUCCCUCUUAAUCUCGUUCUGUAAUGUGUACAUUUUAAUUUUAUGCCUUUUGCCUUUUGAUAACUGCAAAAAUAUACUAGAUGCCAGACUAAUAAAAAAGGGGUCCACUCUUGCCACAACUCUGAGGGCAGCCUGUUCAUGUCCUGGAGGCUUUACCCGUCACCUGUCCCCCUCCCUUAGUUUUCCUCUCAGCUUUUUGAGAUAGGUUCUGAUGGCCCAAAGUGGCCUCAAACUCUACAUACCCAAGGCUGGCCUUGAACUACCCUCCUGCUUCCCACUCCUGUGGUGCAAAUGUGGGUAUGCACCACCACGUGAGGCUCUCCAGCAGCUGUGAAACACUUUCGUGUUCUUGCUGUCCCCUGUUCUGCUGUCUUGAGGCCAUUUCUCUCCCUGGGUGAGCUGUAGACUUCACCUUUCGUCCCCCAGGCCAGUUCUGUCUGGGACUCCCUAAACCUAUGAGCUAGAAGAGACCUUCGACCAUUUGCUGCUGUUUAAAUUGCUUCCAAAAGAUCCCACCAAUUGUUCCAAAGUCGUCAUGGACAGUGGAAGCAUUUGUUUCCAGUUGUGCCCCUCCAUCCCCUGUCAGAUGGCCUCGGCUGAAUGACCAUGGGGAUGACCAAGCAACAAUGCCUGAGUGAGUUGAAUUUUUGCAGCCUCAGUCUGGUCUUUUCUUCCUCUGCAGAAUUGUCUGUGGCAGAUAGGUUUUGUUUUUGUUUUCCUCCUUGCUUGCUUCCACUAUGAGAUGCAGAGAAGGCAAGAGAAUUCCUAUUUCUUUAAAAACUUACACAAAAAAGAAAAAAACCCUAGAAUUUUCCAACUGAUCAGUUAUUAUGAAAAUUGCUGACAGUGCCAAGGCCAAGGAAAGAAUGUCAGAGGCGACUGAGAGGCGCAGCAGCCCCAGAGCACAUAUUCAGAGGGUGUCACCUGGCACUGAACAGGGACCUCCACCUUCCAGCUGGUUGGCUUUUCUGUUUGUCAGGGGGGAGGUUUUGACUUGUGAAGAACGCAGCAACAGAAGAUGCAUCCACAGAGAUGCAGUGCCCCACCUGUACUGCACCUGAGUAGUUAAUAAUUUCCUGAAGAAAUCUAGUGUACUUCAAAUUUUUUCAUAAAGGUUUACAUUGUAUUGUAGGUUAAUAUUAAACGUUUUAUAACAAAAAAUGUAU